rnacentral:rRNA from 1 species
GACGAACGCUGGCGGCGUGCUUAACACAUGCAAGUCGAACGGAAAGGCCCUGCUUUUGUGGGGUGCUCGAGUGGCGAACGGGUGAGUAACACGUGAGUAACCUGCCCCUGACUUUGGGAUAACUUCAGGAAACUGGGGCUCAUACCCGAUAGGAGCUCCUGCUGCAUGGUGGGGGUUGGAAAGUUUCGGCGGUUGGGGAUGGACUCGCGGCUUAUCAGCUUGUUGGUGGGGUAGUGGCUUACCAAGGCUUUGACGGCUAGCCGGCAUGAGAGGUGGACCGGGCACAUGGGGACUGAGGGACGGCGCAGUCUGCUACGUGAGGCAGCAGUGGGGAAUAUUGCACAAUGGGCGGAAGCCUGAUGCGGAGACGCCGCGUGCGGGAUGACGGCUUUCUGGGUGAGAACCGCUGUCGCAUGUGACGAAGCGUGAGUGACGGUAAUGGGUAAAGAAGCACCGGCUAACUACGUG